rnacentral:lncRNA from 1 species
CACAGGAACGAGUGACGGAGCGAAAUGCCAGGACUCUCCCUGAACAUGCCCCGCAGUCAGGAGGACACGCCUCUGGAAGAACACUGAAGAAAGAGAGAACAGCGAGACAGAAUGACGGACGUGACGCCACCGACACACACUCCCUGCUUCAUACAGAGCGGCUGGGAGAAGAGACGACUACAUACAGAAGAUGCUGAGCUGUGAAACCACUGCGAGGACCACUAGAUACAUGUCGGCACAUGGUGGUGGUCCAGAGGAGCUGUGGUGGUCCUUAUUUUUAAUUCUGAAAGGUGGUAAACCUGAUAUUGGAGUAUUAGUGACACUAGUGAGUUAAUGGUUUAGCUAAGUUUAGGAGAAAAUUGUGUUAAAAAAAGGAAAAAGUGGGAUUUAGGAACUUUUGAUUAGCACGUUAUUACAGUAUUGAUCAGUAUGUAC